GAUAAAUUCCAGUGACAUGCAAUUUUUGUAAUGGUAAAAUAUUUGUAAGAAACUGCAAACAAAUGCAAAUGUGCAGUCGAUGUGUGGAAUGCGACAACAUUAUACUCGAUAAUUUCAAUUAUUGCGAGUGUUGUGGCUUAGAAACAAUUAGGCAGUUAAGAAUAAACAAGGCUCGGGCACUAUCAAACCUUUUUCCUAAAAAGCAAAAAGCUGCUUCUGCUGCUUCACAAGAUUUAUUUGAUGACUUUCAGGUUGAUAACGAAGUGUUGACACUAAUCGAGGA